UCGAGGAUCUUCGGCAAUGGGCUAACGCCUGACCGAGCGACGCCGCGUGAGGGAUGAAGGCCUUCGGGUUGUAAACCUCUGUGUAGAGGAGGACCUAUUCUACUAGAAAGCACGGGCUAAGUUCGUGCCAGCAGCCGCGGUAAGACGAACCGUGCAAACGUUAUUCGGAAUCACUGGGCUUAAAGGGUGCGUAGGCGGCCCUGUAGGUGGGAUGUGAAAUCCAACGGCUCAACCGUUGAACUGCGUCCCAAACCACAGGGCUCGAGGGAGACAGAGGUGAGCGGAACUCAAGGUGGAGCGGUGAAAUGCGUUGAUAUCUUGAGGAACACCGGAGGCGAAAGCGGCUCACUGGGUCUCAUCUGACGCUGAGGCACGAAAGCUAGGGGAGCGAACGGGAUUAGAUACCCUGGUAGU
rnacentral:rRNA from 1 species